AAUGUCGCAACACGCGCACACCACAAUCUCUCCAUAGAGGUGUCUCUUGCACGCUUGCGUACGCCAGGAAGCGGCGCGCACUUGGACGCUUUGACAGGAACCCCGAUUGUACGGGCGAUUGCUGUUGCAGAGCCCAAGCAAACACAGCCCAGUUAACCCCUACUCAAGCACCGAUCGAAUAGAGUUCUUCACCCUCGUUCGUUUUGCAUCACAUU
rnacentral:lncRNA from 1 species